rnacentral:rRNA from 1 species
GCAGUAGCCACGGUAAUACGGAGGUGGCUAGCGUUGUUCGGAAUUACUGGGCGUAAAGCGCACGUAGGCGGCUUGGUAAGUUAGAGGUGAAAGCCUGGAGCUCAACUCCAGAAUUGCCUUUAAGACUGCCGAGCUAGCAGGUGAGAGAGGUAAGUGGAAUUCCGAGUGUAGAGGUGAAAUUCAUAGAUAUUCGGAAGAACACCAGUGGCGAAGGCGGCUUACUGGCUCAUACUGGACGCUGAGGUGCGAAAGCGUGGGGAGCAAACAGGAUUAGAUACCCGGGUAGUCCCUGUCUCUUAUAC